AUUGAACGCUGGCGGCAGGCCUAACACAUGCAAGUCGAACGAGUGGCGGACGGGUGAGUAAUGUCUGGGAAACUGCCUGAUGGAGGGGGAUAACUCCUGGAAACGGUAGCUAAUACCGCAUACUAUCAUAUGUGCCCAUAUGGGAUUAGCUUGUGGGUGGGGUAACGGCUGACCAAGGCGACGAUCCCUAGCUGGUCUGAGAGGAUGAGCAGCCAAACUGGGACUGAGACACGGGCCAGACUCCUACGGGAGGCAGAAGUGGGGAAUAUUGCGCAAUGGGCGGAAGCCUGAUGCAGCCAUGCCGCGUGAAUGAAGAAGGCCUUCGGGUUGUAAAGUACUUUCAGCGGGGAGGCGUGACCCGCAGAAGAAGCACCGGCUAACUCCGGGCCAGCAGCCGCGGUAAUUC
rnacentral:rRNA from 1 species